rnacentral:lncRNA from 1 species
AGAACACGGGUUUCUUCCAGUGACUCACUGAACACUGUUUCAGAUUCAUUCCAGUUGAUGUCAAAAUCAGUAGAAGGAGUUCUAGCGGAAAAAUAUCCUGCAUACAAAGACCGGCACAAGUUGGCCUUAGAAAGGGAGAAGCAAAUUAAGGAAAAAGCAGAGAAAGCAAGAGCUUACAGGUUUCGUGACAAUUCAAAUUUUGACUCCAAACACCCUACCUUGCCACCAAAACUUGCUCUAUUAAAAGAGAAGCCAAUAGUUUCUGGUGAUUCAAGUGAUCAAUCACAUGAUGACAGGGCUGCUGAAUCUCAAACAAUAAGCAAAAUGAAAUUUUCCCAAAUUGAAAAGAGGCCUCCUAGAGUGUUUAGACCACCUCCUAAACCGUCUGGUGGUGCUCCUGCUGGUACAAAUGCAAAUCCUUCCAGUGGCACACCACCAGCUCCACCUCCUCCACCUGGUGCUACUCCACCUCCACCCCCACCACCGCCACCAGGUGGACCACCUCCUCCACCUCCUCCGCCAGGAAGCUUGCCGAGAGGAGUGGGAAGUGGUGAUAAAGUUCAACGAGCUCCUGAACUUGUUGAAUUUUAUCAGACAUUGAUGAAACGUGAGGCAAAGAAGGAUACAUCAUC